rnacentral:lncRNA from 1 species
GUUGGAGAGCGCAGAGGCGAUCAUGUGCACACCCCUGACAUAUCUUGGCACCCUGAAACCAAACACUGUAAGUGUAAUUAUGUAAACAAUGAGCGACGAAGCAAUGCGUCAUUUAUGUAAAAUAACCUGUAAACGCGGUACUCGUGGUAUGUGAACAUCACAUUCGCACUUUCCGGGAAAUGUCCAAGGUACUGAGUGGGUGUGUUUUGUUUAUGUCUGCCUGCGAGUGCCUGUGUUUGUGAGUGCGUGCAUGUUGCUGGGUGCUCGUGUUCGCUGUGCUCCUGCUGCCUGUCUCCGGGGAAUCGUUUGCCUCGACUAUUGAGAACUUUGACCCAAGGCUGGUUUUCAUUGAUCGGGGCUCUUCCCGCGUCGGUUCCUUAACGUGUGUUUUAAUGUGGUCCACUUGCGAGGAAGGACUUGACAGCUGGAGCUGUGGACAACGCUCUUAUGCAAGCUUCACACCAAGUUUUUCUUGGCCGAGAAUUCUGCCUUGCAUUACUGUUCUGGGGUUUCACAGUGGGACGCUGCAGUUUGGUGACUGAUCCUCAGAGAAAUGAAGUGCUCAUGAAUAUACUUUGGAACAACUAUCAAGAAAAUAAGACUGUGGAGAUAAAGGAUGAAGAAUUGAGCUCGUGUCUGAAACAAGUGAAAGACAUGUGCAAAAGAGAGUGUCACGAGCAAGGUCCUCUAUUGGUAUUCAAGUAUGUCUAUACAAUGAAGAAUUUGCCGAAAAGACUGAAAAAGGUGACAGUAAGCCGACAAUUUGUGAAAGACUGCAACCAAAAUAAGACAGAUGGCCUGCAACACCUGGUGUGCCGCAUCAAGAAAAGGUACCUGCCUCAACACAAGAACUUCCAUUCACUGCAACGUCGUAUGAAUUGCACGGCAAGACAUCGGGUAAAGAACUGCAAGAACGGAGGAAUUAUAUUUAUCAUCAUGUAUACCCAAAGGAUCGAUGGUCGAUGAAACUGAUGACAGGCUGUCGAAAAGCCAUGGAUAACAGUUGCGUUUUGAGCCGGAUUAUGGAAAAGACUUUCCAAAAAAAGACAUUUAUUGCUUGAACACACAUGACUUUGUGGAUAUGGUGGACUUUUUCCUUUGAUAAUUUCUGAACUUAUGGACCUAGCGUUUUAUUUUGAACAAAGCAAAGGCUCAUGGAGGAGUAAAACGAUGGAAAAUGAGCGGGUGAGCACUCAGGACAGAAGGGAACAAGCUGACAAUUGAUGGACAUUGCAGGCGUGAUAUGGAUGAAAAGGUGACAUGGCAGGAGGUUAGUGGGAAUAUAAAGGAUCUUCAAUAGACAUGGGAGAGUGAGUGCAUGACAUGAAGGUGAGCUGCAACUGCGAAGCAGUGGAGGGAGGAAUGUGAUUGGACAGACACAGGGAGGUAGGAAAAAGAAGACAGACACAAGGAGGUAGAUUCCUGAGGUGGGGAAAACGAGAGGGACAAACAAAUGCAGGUAAGGAGAAGCCUGCAUUUUGAAAUGAUGACAAGGAAGGGUUAAUGUUGAGAUUUGCUCAGUUUCAGGUUGAAUUUCCUGAGUUAUCAUGUGGAUUAUCAUGAAUGGAGGCUAGACUAUUGGAACUGAUGGUUUGCUACGUGAAUGAAAUAGUCUGUUACUUUACGAAACAGACAUUCACACCUAUACCGAUAAUAUUCACACUUGACCUGUCAGGGUAGUGCCAAGACAGGUAGCUUUGAGUUGCGGCAAGUUAUUUCUGACUGGAAACAACUGGGAUUCAAAAGUUCGUAUUCAGAAAAUGUAUGUUUGUCAUGAAUAAUUAUUACUUAUUGCGGUUGUCAAUCAACCAACAUGUAUCGUGCACCACUCAAGGUAAUUGUACAUAUGAAAUUGUCAACAUAAUGCACUGUGGUGGCAGGAUAGCUGAGACCUACGUGUACUCACCUCUGAGCCGGCUCAUCUGGGAUCAAAUCUCGACGUAGCUAUAAACGCUUACCCUGGUGUUUUGCAGGCAGCGUGAGGCCUCAAUGUGUGUGCCGUCCUUUGGAUGGGUGAUAAACUGGGUGUCCCAUCUGCCACAAUUCUUUGGUGGACGUUAAAGAUCCUUUGCAAAGAGCAAGCAAGAUAUUGCCGGCAUCCUGGCCAAAUGACUAAUUCCUACCCGAAACGACAAGAGGAACAGGAUUCGCCACAAUGCUGCUUCCCCAGCAAAGAUGCCACUCACAGCCAUGUGCUGCAUACAAAAGAAGAACAUAAUCCAUCCUAUAACGCUGUUUAUACGUACGGCUGUAUUUAUUGCAACAUUUUUCUACCAAUUUAUUUUUAUGUAUUGUCGAAUUUAUAAAGUGGGCUCAAGUUUUUAAUUUUAUCUUUGUGUCUUGCUUUCUUUAGAGGUUAAGGCUCUUGGAAUAGAUGAACAGCAUAAGGUGGAAAGUUGAUGAAUCAACAGGAGCAGGGGAACAGAUGGACGAAGGAAACACAAAAACAUACAUAUACACGUACACACGAGGGAAAGAUUAGAUGAGAUGAGAGGCAGGUUAACGAAGGGGACAGGUUCAGCGAGGAUAGAGGAGUUCACGAGUGGGGUAUGAAGACAAAAUGAGCUGGUGAUGGACCGCUUUAUGGACACUGGCAGUACUAAAAGUGCCUGGGUUUCCUCGUCUUCGAUCUAAACCUGAUGGAAUAGGACUUAGCUAUAAAAUGCUGUCCUGAUGUUUUGUAGGCAGGAAGUUGUAACAGGUGCAAGCCUUCAGAAGGGGAAUGAAGUGGUUCACCCCAUCCGGUAGCAUUCACUUCUGAAUUUUAAAGACACUUA